rnacentral:lncRNA from 1 species
CGGUUUUGAGAAUAUUGAUAUUUUCUUUCCAAACAAACCUGAUACCUUGGAUGCUUUCUUCCCGUUCGAAUGAUUUCCAUUGUCUCUAGGUAGCUCAUCUAUAGGUGCCUCAGGCUCAGGCUCAGGCUCAGGCUCAGGCUCAGGCUCAGGUUCAGCAGAUUCUUGCUCAGGGACAUAAUCAAUAUCUCUCAAGAGACGUAGAACUUCCAUUGCGUUUAUCUGUGCUCUCUCUGUCCCAUUGGUAGAUGAAUGGACAAGAGCAGGAAUAACUCCCUCAUGCAUG